GGAUAAAUGGCAGAGUGGUCUAAUGCGGCAGUUUUGAAAACUGUUUUAUAAUAUAACAUAGGUUCAAAUCCUAUUUUAUCCU
rnacentral:tRNA from 1 species